AAAUUAAUAUUAGCCCGAUAAUUUACAGGGUUUCGGGUUCUCACCAGGAUAUGAUAUCUUCAAGAGUCACGGACUUUGCUAGGUUCGCAAACAUGAGAGAUGGAGUGAAGACUGCAAAUACAAUCUGUAGAAUAUGUAGUUGAGAAUGUUGCUGUGUCCGCUGGCGAGGUAAGCGCCAAGGAGGCCGAUGAGGAGAACUUGUAUGCUUGGCGUCGACGCAACGAGAAAUAGAGACCAAAAUGCCAUUCUUCUUCUAUCGAAGUUUAUGGGCUUGAGAAGAUUAAAUCUGAUACAAUUUAGCACUAAAUUUCUUUCAAACUGUUUCAUUUUCAAUUUCACUCAAGAAAGAAGACAAAUUAUAAUGAUAUGUUAAAUAACAAACGAUUAUAAUUGAGGAGGUGGUUUCUCCAUUGUGUAGAUGCAGUAAACAUAUAAUCGAGGAGGUUAAAUCAAUAAUUAUAGAUUUUCAGUUUUUUUUU